UAUUGGUCAAUGGGCGGAAACCCUGAUGCAGCGACGCCGCGUGAGGGAUGAAGGACUUCGGAUCGUAAACCUCUGUCAGCAGGGAAGAACGGUCACUGUGCUAAUCAGCAGUGAAUUGACGGUACCUGCAACGGAAGCACCGGCUAACUCCGUGCCAGCAGCCGCGGUAAUACGGAGGGUGCGAGCGUUAAUCGGAAUUACUGGGCGUAAAGCGCUCGUAGGCGGUAUGUCAAGUCAAGGGUGAAAUCCCCGCGCUCAACGUGGGAACUGCCUUUGAAACUGGCAAACUGGAGUGUGUGAGAGGAUAGUGGAAUUCCGGGUGUAGGAGUGAAAUCCGUAGACAUCUGGAGGAACAUCAGUGGCGAAGGCGACUAUCUGGCACAUAACUGACGCUGAGGAGCGAAAGCGUGGGUAGCAAACAG
rnacentral:rRNA from 1 species